UCCCCAAAAUGAAUUAGUCCACUAAAAGGA
rnacentral:piRNA from 1 species